UCUCUGCACAGGCCUCAUAGCAACCAAGCUACAAACUUCCAGGUCUCUCAGAUUAGUGGCUGCAUUCUCCUCAGACUCCCAAUGAUUUUGUGAUCCGUUUGACCCUUGUGCAACAGCAAAAGCGUGUGGGAGCAGUGCUGAAUGCUGCUGUGCAGCUGCAGGCUGUGCUCCUCUCCUUUUCUGCAGCUUUUUAAGCUGCCUACGGGGUACAGAGCGUUCCAAGCCUGUGACCUAAAUUAUGAGCAGAAGAUAUUAAGCCUGGAUUUUAACUUAAGAGCUGACUACACCCACAGGACAAAUUAAAACACAGUGUUGUUUUUCCACUGAAGGUAAGCAAGCAGUGAAAUUAUACUGGAUUCUUUAUUUAAACUGCUGCCAGAAGUAUGAAGUUGUGAGCCGUAGUCUUUCCUAGUCUUUGCUCUUUCUUCUCCAAGCCCCCACAAUGGUUACACACAGCAUAGUCACAGAAUCAUACAGGCUGGAAAAAAUGACUCAGAUCCCCAA